rnacentral:rRNA from 1 species
UUUCUAGAGACCGGCGCACGGGUGCGUAACGCGUAUGCAAUCUACCUUUUGCAGAGGGAUAGCCCAGAGAAAUUUGGAUUAAUACCUCAUAGUAUAAUGACUCCGCAUCGAGAUAUUAUUAAAGUCACAACGGCAAAAGAUGAGCAUGCGUCCCAUUAGCUAGUUGGUAAGGUAACGGCUUACCAAGGCAACGAUGGGUAGGGGUCCUGAGAGGGAGAUCCCCCACACUGGUACUGAGACACGGACCAGACUCCUACGGGAGGCAGCAGUGAGGAAUAUUGGACAAUGGGCGCAAGCCUGAUCCAGCCAUGCCGCGUGCAGGAUGACGGUCCUAUGGAUUGUAAACUGCUUUUAUACGAGAAGAAACACUCCUUCGUGAAGGAGCUUGACGGUAUCGUAAGAAUAAGGAUCGGCUAACUCCGUGCCAGCAGCCGCGGUAAUACGGAGGAUCCAAGCGUUAUCCGGAAUCAUUGGGUUUAAAGGGUCCGUAGGCGGUCUAGUAAGUCAGUGGUGAAAGCCCAUCGCUCAACGGUGGAACGGCCAUUGAUACUGC